rnacentral:rRNA from 1 species
AGAGUUUGAUCCUGGCUCAGAACGAACGCUGGCGGCAGGCCUCAAACAUGCAAGUCUAGGGGGUGUAGCAAUACAUCACCGGCGGACGGGUGCGUAACGCGUGGGAAUAUACCUAUUGGUUCGGAACAACUGAGGGAAACUUCAGCUAAUACCGAAUGUGCCCUAACGGGGAAAGAUUUAUCGCCAAUGGAUUAGCCCGCGUUCGAUUAGCUAGUUGGUGGGGUAACGGCCCACCAAGGCGACGAUCGAUAGCUGUUCUGAGAGGAAGAUCAGCCACACUGGGACUGAGACACGGCCCAGACUCCUACGGGAGGCAGCAGUUGGGAAUCUUGGACAAUGGGGGAAACCCUGAUCCAGCCAUGCCGCGUGAGUGAUGAAGGCCUUCGGGUUGUAAAACUCUUUCGCGCACGACGAUAAUGACGGUAGUGCGAGAAGAAGCUCCGGCUAACUUCGUGCCAGCAGCCGCGGUAAUACGAAGGGGGCUAGCGUUGUUCGGAAUUACUGGGCGUAAAGCGCGCGCAGGCGGCUAUCCAAGUCAGUGGUGAAAGCCCGGAGCUCAACUCCGGAACUGCCAUUGAAACUGUUUAGCUUGAGUAUGAGAGAGGUGAGUGGAAUUCCCAGUGUAGAGGUGAAAUUCGUAGAUAUUGGGAAGAACACCGGUGGCGAAGGCGGCUCACUGGCUCAUUACUGACGCU